rnacentral:rRNA from 1 species
UAUUUGUCAAUGGGCGAGAGCCUGAACCAGCCAAGUCGCGUGAAGGAUGAAGGAUCUAUGGUUUGUAAACUUCUUUUAUAUGGGAAUAAAGUGAGGAACGUGUUCCUUUUUGUAUGUACCAUAUGAAUAAGCAUCGGAUAACUCAGUGCCAGCAGCCGCGGUAAUACGGAGGAUGCGAGCGUUAUCCGGAUUUAUUGGGUUUAAAGGGUGCGUAGGUGGCUAAUUAAGUCAGCGGUGAAAGGUUGUGGCUCAACCAUAAAAGUGGCGUUGAAACUGGUUGACUUGAGUAUAUUUGAGGUAGGCGGAAUGCGUGGUGUAGCGGUGAAAUGCAUAGAUAUCACGCAGAACUCCGAUUGCGAAGGCAGCUUACUAAACUAUAACUGACACUGAAGCACGAAAGCGUGGGGAUCA